rnacentral:misc_RNA from 1 species
UGGCCUGAAAGCAAAUGAGAAGAGCUCUGGCUCAAAAGACAAUGAUAUCAAGAUGACUGACGCAGAGGGAUCAUCCAAUGGAAGUGGAGAAUGUUUUAAGGCUACCUCCAAAGAAGGUAAAUGUUGUAAAUAUUCUCCUUAGCUUGAACUGAGCAUCCCUUUUUGUAUUUCAAUGUUUUUAUUGAGAUCUGGUAAAUAUAAUCUGUGUUUGACGUCCAAGGCGUCGUUUGCAGUUUAGCAUUGACAUUGUGGGUUAGUUUGUGUUUGGGUGUGGUCUCUGGAGUGUGGACUUUGUAAUAGACCUUUGGGCCUUGGAGAUUUAUGGUGUAAAUGAGUUGUUGUGGCAUUAUAUUUCAGAAGUUUAUUUCUGAACUAAAUUCUAUUGCUUUCCAGUAUUGCAUGCAUUUUGGGAAGAUGCUAGACUAUAUACAUGAUCAUCCUGCAUUGAAGGUUAUCAAACCAAUAAUUGCCUAGUGACUUUGUGCUCUGAUGAUGGGUGAUACCAGGGGUAUCGCAGGUGAAUGACUUGUGGGAUUGUGUCAGAAGGGUCUACAAUGAAAGUAUUGGGAAGUAUGGGAUUAAGGGUAAGGGUAAGGUAUGAGGUAUAUGGUACGAGGUAUAUGGUACGAGUGGUUAUUUGGCUUAUUCGACCAGUCUUCAAAUGAGUCUGAGACCAAUACGUUAACUUCUUCUGCUAGAGAAUGAAAGGUUAGAAGAAAGCCAAAGGGGUGAUUCCCCAUCGGCACUUUGAUGGUUUAGUAAUUGUUGGAAGAAUUUAGAAGCAAAGAGAAUAAUGGCUGAGAAUGUAAGAGUUCGAAUGUUUUACCUUGAGAAAGUAAAGUCUUGUACACCAACCAUUAUCUCAUUAGGGGAGUGCCAAGUGUUGUUUUGGGUUACCAGCUAGACUAUAGCUUUCAUCUUUUACAGCAUGUUACUCAAAAUUUGUCUCUAGUAACAGGUGUAAUGUCAUUCCUGCAAUGGCGGUUAUUGUGUCAGUGAUGAUAACAUUUGUUGCCGGCACAGUACCACAGUUAUUUGGCUCAUUAAUACUCGCCUUACUGAUAAUAAAUGACUCUCCCUUCGUUAGGAGGAGCAUUUCGUUCUGCGAGUGCUGUUUUGAGGGGUUGGGUUCCAAUACCAGUCAGUAGCUUCUUCAUAACAGUUUAAUGCCGAUCCCUUGAUCGAUUGGAUCGCACGAUCUUCAUUGAGCGUUUAUUUGAGUCCACUACCCUCAGAUACAGACAUGGCUUCCCCUGUAUAUACAGGUGUCUCAGUUCAUUAUUGUCCACGUAUCAUUAAUCUAGUAGUUGACUAUUUUUAAGUGUAUCAUGCUCCCCAAGUUAUUUUCCCAAGAUGCACAUAUAUUAAGUUCUGAUGCUUAUGCUGAAACCCAUCUUGCUUGCUCUAUUAAACAUUCUUACUGUUCACUCCAGGUGGUUCAUCUGACAAAGAAUCACAUUUGACUGGAAUAUAUGAUUUGGUUGCU